rnacentral:lncRNA from 10 species
AGCGCGCGCUGGGCCCGCCUUGGCCGCCGCCGCUGUGCUGCCGCUGCCGGGGAAUAAUCUGGGCGGCAGCGGGCGGCCUCGGCUAGCGGCCACGAGCCACUUCUGCGGCUGCCCAGAGAAGCAAAGGUCACCAGUCCCAAGUCGUCCCCCUCUCCGCCCCCCAGGAGGGGCGAGAGGGAGCCGCAGCUGAUGUCAGUUGGAUUGGCUAGUGCUUCCAGUAUUAAAUAGUGUUGAUAACCUGCACCCUUGUCUUAAAUGGAUACUUUGUGCAUAUAAGUAUAGAAACAGGAGCAUGAUGCAGAAAGAACAAGCUCUUCAAGAAUAAUCUGCUUCCAGGAGCGGAGAGUUUAAUAGGCCAGACAGAAGGGAGAAGGCAGAAGGAAGAAGCUCCCCCGUACAGAGACAGAGGGAGGGAGGCUCCAAAGCCAAGAGAAGGGAUCCCCAAGUGCGGUGGACAC